GACGAACGCUGGCGGCGUGCCUAACACAUGCAAGUCGAACGGAGUAAAGCGCUGAAAAGGAGGUAGCUUGCUACUGAAUUUUCUGUUUACUUAGCGGCGGACGGGUGAGUAACACGUGGGUAACCUGCCUUAUAGAGGGGGAUAGCCUUCCGAAAGGAAGAUUAAUACCGCAUAAGAAGUAGAAGUCGCAUGGCUUUAGCUUUAAAGGAGCAAUCCGCUAUAAGAUGGACCCGCGGCGCAUUAGCUAGUUGGUGAGGUAACGGCUCACCAAGGCGACGAUGCGUAGCCGACCUGAGAGGGUGAUCGGCCACAUUGGAACUGAGAUACGGCCCAGACUCCUACGGGAGGCAGCAGUGGGGAAUAUUGGGCAAUGGGCGAAAGCCUGACCCAGCAACGCCGCGUGAAGGAAGAAGGCCUUCGGGUUGUAAACUUCUUUUACCAGGGACGAAGAACGUGACGGUACCUGGAGAAAAAGCAACGGCUAACUACGUG
rnacentral:rRNA from 1 species